rnacentral:tmRNA from 1 species
GGGGAUGACUGGUUUCGACUUGGAAUGGUUGUUCCAGGAGAAGCGGGCCGAGGACCCAGGGUCAACUCGUUAACGAUCCUUGGAAACCUAUAAGUGCUGAGAACACUCGCACUGACUUCGCUCUCGCUGCCUGAUCAGUGAUCGAAGGGUCAGCCCGGAUGUAGCCUUCCGUCCGGAUCCUGGCCUCGUUUAGAAGGCUUGCCGUACAGCUGUGGUCACGGGAGCUGUACGGGACGUUUCCGUGACUGGGCUUGUCUGCACCAUGUCGGUGUGAGUGCAGGAGCCGAGCA